GCGGGUGUCGUAUAAUGGUUAUUAUGGCUCCCUUCCAAGGAGCAGAAGCCGGUUCGAUUCCGGUCACCCGCU
rnacentral:tRNA from 1 species